rnacentral:rRNA from 1 species
UAGUCGAAAAAUACGAACUACAGUUUAAAACUUAAAGAAUUUGGCGGUAUCUUAUCGAACCAGGGGAAUCUGUCUCAUAACUCGAUAAUCCACGAACAAACUACCCUUUUUAGAACAAACAGCUUGUGUACUGCCGUCGUAAGCACACCUCUAAAAGUAAGUAUGCAGCUAUGAUUUAACUCAUUUACGUCAGGUCAAAGUGCAGCUAAUGGGAGGGAGAUGAUGGAUUACACCCUUAAUAAAGAUACAGAUUAAAACACUAAGAGUUUUAUGAAGGUGGACUUGGUUGUAAUUAUUAUCCAAUAUAAUAAUAAAAUCGAAUCUAAGAUAUGCACACAUCGCCCGUCACUCUCGCUUUAAAGCG